rnacentral:rRNA from 1 species
UACGUAGGGUGCGAGCGUUAAUCGGAAUUACUGGGCGUAAAGCGUGCGCAGGCGGUUUGUUAAGACAGAUGUGAAAUCCCCGGGCUUAACCUGGGAACUGCAUUUGUGACUGGCAAGCUAGAGUAUGGCAGAGGGGGGUAGAAUUCCACGUGUAGCAGUGAAAUGCGUAGAUAUGUGGAGGAACACCGAUGGCGAAGGCAGCCCCCUGGGUCAAGAUUGACGCUCAUGCACGAAAGCGUGGGGAGCAAACAGG